CUGAGGAUGAAUGGCAGAGACGCACAGCCAUCCCUACAGGUUUUGACAAGCCAAAGUUGGGAUGUGACAGUGCUGUACUGAAAAGUUGAGACCUUAAGGAGGAUAUUCAAGAUGCCUGUGAAUUAUUUUACAUGAACCUAUUAAAGUAAAUAAAGUUUUGUAUUGAUUAAAUCGACAA